CCUACGGGAGGCAGCAGUGGGGAAUCUUGCGCAAUGGGGGCAACCCUGACGCAGCCAUGCCGCGUGAAUGAUGAAGGCCUUAGGGUUGUAAAGUUCUUUUGCCCGUGACGAUGAUGACGGUAACGGGAGAAUAAGCUCCGGCUAACUUCGUGCCAGCAGCCGCGGUAAUACGAAGGGGGCUAGCGUUGUUCGGAAUUACUGGGCGUAAAGCGCGCGCAGGCGGUUCGAUAAGUUAGGGGUGAAAUCCCUGGGCUCAACCCAGGAAUGGCCUUUAAGACUGUCGAGCUAGAGGACGAGAGAGGUGAGUGGAAUUCCCAGUGUAGAGGUGAAAUUCGUAGAUAUUGGGAAGAACACCGGUGGCGAAGGCGGCUCACUGGCUCGUUUCUGACGCUGAGGCGCGAAAGCGUGGGGAGCAAACAGGAUUAGAUACCCUGGUAGUCCACGCCCUAAACGAUGAGUGCCAGGUGUCGGGAAGCUUAGCUUCUCGGCGCCGCAGCUAACGCCUUAAGCACUCCGCCUGGGGAGUACGGCCGCAAGGUUAAAACUCAAAUGAAUUGACGGCUGAGACGNGCGACGACGACGACGAGGGAGAGG
rnacentral:rRNA from 1 species